AGAGGAGGAGGAGGAGGAUUGCCGACCACCACCGAGCCACCCAUCCCCAGCGACGACCACCACCGCUCCCAGUAGAGCCCACCACUUUAAUUUUGCCCAUUCUACGGAUUGCCCAGGGUAUUGCGUGUUGUGCUCAUCUCCAUUCACAGCACCUCUCUCUCGCCUCCCUCUCUGUUCACUUGCUCUCUGGCCCUCCGAUCCAGCGCCGCUGCAUCGCACCACCACACUGCCUCUCUACUCCGUCAACGGCAUCGCCAUCGGAAAUUUUUUGAGCUGCUGAGGAGAGGAACUGCCGAGGGUUGUGAUUCUGCAAUCAAAUGCUUGCGGACAGCGGUUGCGCGUUGUGCCCUAGAUGCCUGUCCGG